CCCACAUCAAAGCACAUACAGUGAUGGAUGGAUCUUAGGGCAGAGUCCCCAAAGAACCACAAAGAGAAAGCCAGCUUCAAUGCAUCGGCCACGCAGGGGUAUAUAACAACAGCACCCAGUGGGUCAGACUUAUUUGUCCCCUUACCUAACUUCUCUCUUCCAUCUCUACCCACCCUGGAGUUGCUGAGGGUGUACAGUGCGUGGGAGAGGAAAUGUGGAGGAGCUGAAUCAGGGGGCUGUGGAGAUGUAGAGGACAGUACUCCCCUUCCCACUGACGGGCUGUGGCUGGUAGCAGUGAAAGCUGGAGAGAUCAAAGUCAUCACUUUUAUCACACAGGACUCAUUAAUAUUGUGCCUGAAAAUAAGACCUUUUAAUAUCUGAAAGGGACUGGAAAUCUAUGGGAUUUGCUGAGGCUAUCAUCCAGGGGCAGAGAAGGGAGAUCUGACAAAAGAUAUCUGAAGAUCAAAGUGGGAGAAAAAUGAAGGUGCUUCCUGCAUGUAUCCCACCGAGCCCAGCUCAUUCAAC
rnacentral:lncRNA from 1 species